rnacentral:rRNA from 1 species
UGUUUUUUGCUAUAUUAUAAAAAAUAAAUUUCCUGCCCAAUGUUAAUAUAAAUGGCUGCGGUAUCCUAACCGUACAAAGGUAGCAUAAUAAAUUGCCCAUUAAUUGUGGGAUAGAAUGAACGGAAUAAUGAGAAAGAAACUGUCCCAUUAAUAUUUAAAGAAAAUUAACAUUAAAGUGAAGAGGCUUUAAUAAAAUUAUAAGACAAGAAGACCCUAUAGAGCUUAAAUUAAAACAUUAAAAUAAUGAUUUUCCAUUUAGGUUGGGGCGACCAAAAAUAAAAGCAUUUUAAAAUACAAGAUUAACAAAUCAACUUAAAGAUCCUUAUAUAGAUCAUAGAACAAAGUUACCUUAGGGAUAACAGGCUAAUCCUAUUAAAAAGUCCAUAUUUACAAUAGGGAUUGGCACCUCGAUGUUGGCUUAGAAAAUCUUUAUUUAACGCAACAGUUUUAAAAGUAGGUUUGUUCAAACCUAUAAAUAUUCC